CUUCGGCCCGAGUUGUAAUUUGCAGAGGAUGUUUAUGGUGCGGUACCUUCCGAGUUCCCUGGAACGGGACGCCACAGAGGGUGAGAGCCCCGUCUGGUUGGAUACUAAACCUGUGUUAAACUCCUUCAACGAGUCGAGUAGUUUGGGAAUGCUGCUCUAAAUGGGAGGUAAAUCUCUUCUAAAGCUAAAUACCGGCCAGAGACCGAUAGCGCACAAGUAGAGUGAUCGAAAGAUGAAAAGCACCUUGAAAAGGGGGUUAAACAGUACGUGAAAUUGUUGAAAGGGAAGCGUUUAUGACCAGACUUGUGCCGUGUGGCUCAUCCGAGGUUCUCCCCGGUGCACUCCACGCGGCUCAGGCCAACAUCGGUUCUUGCUGGGGGAUAAGAAUAGUAGGAACGUAGCUCCCCUCGGGGAGUGUUAUAGCCUAUUAUACGAUACCCUGGCGGGGACCGAGGACCGCGCUUCGGCUAGGAUGUUGGCGUAAUGGUCAUUAGCGACCCGUCUUGAAACACGGACCAAGGAGUCGUCCAUUAGAGCGAGCGUUUGGGUGUAAAACCCGCACGCGUAAUGAAAGUGAAAUUAGGUGAGAGCUUCGGCGCAUCAUCGACCGAUCCUGAAGUUUACGGAUGGAUUUGAGUAAGAGUUUUAACGGACGGACCCGAAAGACAGUGAACUAUGCUUGAAUAGGGUGAAGCCAGAGGAAACUCUGGUGGAGGCUCGCAGCGGUUCUGACGUGCAAAUCGAUCGUCAAAUUUGAGCAUGGGGGC
rnacentral:rRNA from 1 species